rnacentral:lncRNA from 1 species
CCUGCACACACACACACAUGCACGCAUGCACACACACACACACAGAAGGUGAACACACAGGAUGAGGCCCUGAAAACUCAUUUCACCCGUGUACCUCACCCAAAAAUUCCCCUUUGUACUCCUAUCUUUAUCUCUAACUGACAGCAUGAAGGUAGCCCGAAGUCCCCUCACCCUGUCUGUCCUCCUGAUUCUCUAGCCCAGUUCCCUCUAGCUCCAGCACAGACUCUUAUCUCCAGCCCUGACUGCCGAAACCCUCCAGCCCCAGCUCCAGCCCCUCAGGAGGGGACUGCGUGGGAGGAAUGACUCCAGCAAGCCGGCAGCUGACCCGUCUCCUGCCUGCACGCCUCCCGCUGUGGUCCACUGCCGGUGGUCUUCAGCUCUCUCCUCGUCCCACCCCCAUGGUCUGCUGACAGCCCAGCUCAGUGCAUCCCUGCCAUCUCUGCUCUACCGCUGGUCCUCCCAACAACCAACUUACAGACACUGAGGACGCUUGCUAUGUGGCGUGGUGGACGGUGGGGCUUGACCCUGGGGACUGAGAGGUGGAGAAGACACAGUCCCAUCUGUCUCACGGCAGAGACAGGUUUGGGGGCACACGUGAAGGUUUGACAUAUAGUAAACACAUGUCAUGGUGGUUUGUUGUACAGAUUAUUACAUCACCCAGGUACUAAGCCCAGUACCCAAUAGUUGUCUUUUCUGCUCCUCUCCCUCCUCCCGCCCUCAAGAAGACCCCCGUGUCUGCACUUUCCUUCUUUGUGUUCGUAAGUUCUUAUCAUUUAGCUCCCAAUGCUUUCCAUUCUUUUAGAUAUAUGUGCCCUUGGCAUUUUUGCCCUUUUGGGCCCCUUCUUCCAGCAAAUAAUAAUAAUAGUAAUAAUUAAUUCUAUUUUACAACUAUUGGUAUAAAGACAAAUAUAUUAAUUUUUUUUUUUUUUCCGAGACAGGGUUUCACUCCCGUCACCCAGACUGGAGUACAAUGGUGCGAUCUCAGCUCACUGCAACCUCU